GCACAUUUAGGCGCUGCAAGUCGGAAAUCAACUAGGCGACAAGCCAAUACUAAUAGGACUUUUUCACGAAUCGGUAGCAUAGCACUUUCGUGUUGUUACUGUUCCAGUUAUGAUUGAAGAUUCUCCAUCGUCAUGCAUCAACUGGCAGUCUUUCAAUGAGUUCUUGCAAGAGGAGAAUGAGUUGCAACAAGUCUCUCUCUUAAAGAAGUUUGGCUCUGGAUUAAGAAAGCUGGUUUGUCCGGGAUUUGAAGAAUCGCACUUGGAAGAUUUGAUUGGCAUUCUCGCAGACAUUCAUAUUAAUGCACAAGCUCGCUGUGUGCUUCGUAGGACCAUUGUUAGGUACAGAAGGCUGGAUCGAGGCAGUUUUUGUUUUUGGGGAAUUUCCAUAUCAUAUAAAAAUUGUUAUCAAAUUUUAGCAAUACCAUGAGAAUUUUUUUUUAGAUUUAUCUCUUUACUUAACGAAUAGAUGAAUAUCAUGUCAUCUGGUUUUAUAAUUGCAGUGCUGGUGUCAGAACUUUCUUGUCAAGGAGGCUAAGGUCCCUGACAAGGUGGUCCAAAAUCCCUGACACGUGGUCAAAUUUAUUUGUUAGACGUG